rnacentral:lncRNA from 1 species
AUUGUUUUAGUGGUAAGAAAAAGAACGGGGUAUGUAAGAGCCACAAGGCCCACCAGGGGACAGUGAAAAAUCCAGAGACUUGAAGGGUGGGAGGUUUAAACUCCAUGUGGUGGAGCUUGGAGACAUGCUGCAGUGUUAUUGGGUGGAAUCUGGAACUUCGGUGGUCCUGCUAGCAACCAAUGGAGCACUAGGAGAUGUUCACCUACAAAGGGAGAGAGAGGGUGGAAUGGGGAACUCCCAUUUCUCUUCCCCCUUUUUUUUUCAACCCUCUGUCUCCACAUCUGUUGCCCUGAGGAGCAACCUAAGGAGCAAGACCCACCUUGACCCACAAUACCACAAGGAGACAGCAAGAUACAGAUCUGAGGAAAACAGCCAAGAUGGACCCUGCCAGCAUCCCAAAGCUCAUCUCACUCAGACGUCUGUGGUCUCUCCAGAGAAUGCACUGUCCUCCAGCCCAAGCACAUGGUACUGAUUUGUUCUCAGUACCAGAAAGAAGGGAAUUGGACACAGACUCUUUGCAGAACAUCAAAGAGAAGGGUGAGACUCUCAUCUUCAUCUCUGAAGAUUCCAGCAGCUCCAGACAUAGACUAUGUGUAUCGGCUCCGUCCUAAGUAAUUGGUUUUCCCAGCACUCCCGGCCUGCUGCUCUUCUCCCUUCCUUCCCAGUUUUUACAUCUUUCUCUUAGCACCUAGUGGGAAAUGGUAUGACUCUACACAUAGCUUAUCUUGGACUGAAGCGCCUGAAGUUUUUAUGGCUCUUUAUUUUGCUUUAGACCUUCACCAUUAACAUAGGUGGAUUUAUUAAUGGUGAAAUCACACUCAAGACCCUCUCCACCUUCAAGGGCUUGAUGUCUGUGACCCUCUCAAAAGUCAGGUGAAAUGCUAACCCCUAUUGUUAUAGUAUUAUGGGCAAGGCGAUUGGGAGAUGAUAAAUUCAUAAGGGCAAAGCCACGGGGAGCAACAAGCCCCUUCUUUGCUGCCACCAUGCCAGAUAAGAAAACAAAAGUCCAUCAGAGAGGCUCCACCCAGCAACUGAUGGAAACAGAUGCAGAGACCCACAGCCAAACAUUAGGCUGAGUUUAGGGAAUCCUGUGGAAGAGGCAGAGGAAGGACUUUAGGAGCCAGUGGGGUCAAGAAAACCACAGAAUCAGCUAACCUGGGCUCAUAGGGGCUCACAGAGACUGAACCAACAACCUGGGAGCCUGCAUGGGACUGACCUAGGAACUCCACACAUAUGUUACAGUUGUAUAGCUUCAUCUUCUAGUGGGGCUCUUAACAGUGGAGGCAGGGGCUGUCUCAUACCUGCUCUUGGGACCCUUCUCUUCUGCUGGAUUGUCUUAAUAAGAGAGGAGGUGCCUAGUCUCACUGCAAGCUGAUAUGCCAUGGCUGGCGGAUAUCCAUGGGAGGCCUGCC